AUGGGUGUAGCUCAAUGGUAGAGCGCCGGCUUCCAACCCCGGGCCGUUGUGGGUUCGAUUCCUACCACCCGUG
rnacentral:tRNA from 1 species